rnacentral:lncRNA from 1 species
CAGGCAUCUACACAAGACAAUCAGAGAGUAUAUUUGAAGAAGAGGAGUGGAUUUUUGUAGCGAUCACACCCACAAUCAGAUGAAUUACCAGGCAUAGGUAAAUAUAAAUCAUUACAAGGCUUAAUCUUUGCUUUGAGCAGCACUGGAUAAAGAACUUGAAAUCAAAAGCAGUACUCCCUGAAUUGUUGGCUGCUUUGAACAGAACCACAUCUUCACAAAAAAAAAAAAAAAAAUUGAUUUGUAGUUCCAUAGGUUAAAUUAAUCAACAUAAAUAGGAUCAUGCAAUUUAGUAAUGUACAUCCA